rnacentral:rRNA from 1 species
GACGAACGCUGGCGGCGUGCUUAACACAUGCAAGUCGAACGCUGAAGCUCAGCUUGCUGGGUGGAUGAGUGGCGAACGGGUGAGUAACACGUGAGUAACCUGCCCUCUUCUUUGGGAUAACGCCCGGAAACGGGUGCUAAUACUGGAUAUUCACUGAUUCUCGCAUGGGGGUUGGUGGAAAGGUUUUUUCUGGUGGGGGAUGGGCUCGCGGCCUAUCAGCUUGUUGGUGGGGUGAUGGCCUACCAAGGCUUUGACGGGUAGCCGGCCUGAGAGGGUGACCGGUGACAUUGGGACGGAGAAACGGGCCAGACUCCUACGGGAGGCAGCAGUGGGGAAUAGUGCACAAUGGGCGAAAGCCUGAUGCAGCGACGCCGCGUGAGGGAUGGAGGCCUGCGGGUUGGAAACCUCUUUCGCUCAUGGUCAAGCCGCAGCGUGGGGUUGUGGUGAGGGUAGUGGGUAAAGAAGCGCCGGCUAACUACGUG